CAUUUCUUUUUUCUCCCGAGUUUCAACAAAACGUCGUUUUCUUCAGGUGAGUGGUUUUAUUGGCUUUACACGAGCCACUUAAGCCACAGGCCAUCGCUUCUCUUUGUCUCGGGAGUGGGCGGGGUCUUUUCCCCGAGUUCAACCGGAGUGUUCCGAUCUUCUCCGAUCCCCUGCUCAGGCGUUGCAGCUGCGUGUUCUCCUCGCAUCUUCACUCUCCAUCACCCGCAGCGCUUCCACCAUGGUGGACAUACUGCUGUUGAUGUUUUUCGCCGUCAUGGGCCUCGUCUUCCUCUCAUACAUCAUCUACAUGCUGUGAUGAGACAGUCGGAGGCGGAGUUUGGUUCCUCCUGUGUGCCCGCUUACCGUCACACACAUGGACCGAAGAACCUCAUGCAGGUCAUGAUGUUUCCCCUCCCACCUCUCCGAUCGGACAUGGGGAACCCGGAGGAAGACGACUGGACAGCACCUUUCUUCUUUUCUCAUUAUUUUCCUCCAUCUGUGGCUUCGCCUCAUUUUCUCCAACUUCCUUGCAGCCCUUAUUUACUUACCUAAAACUAGUGUUACCUGUGCAAGCAUCCUGUAAAUCCAUCAGUUUGAACACAGAGUGUUUUUGUUGCCAAUACGUUUUCCUUCCCGUUCCCUCAUCAAUACUAGCGACAGAUCACUCAUGAUGCUGCAUCAAAAAUAGAUUAUUUCCUGCAGAAAAUUACCUAUUUGGAGAUGGAUUAUUUGUUUGUAUCAAUGUUAUUCCACUGAUGUUGUGUUUACAGAUUCACUGAUAAUCAGCCAAAAUAUGUUUCACAUGAUCUUAAUUAAAUAUGAUUUUAAGUGCAA